GCGGGCGUAGUUCAGUGGUAGAACGUCUGCUUGCCAUGCAGAAGGUCGUGGGUUCAAGUCCCAUCGCCCGCU
rfam:Candidatus Aminicenantes bacterium RBG_16_63_16 RBG_16_scaffold_2142, whole genome shotgun sequence.